CAAUCGCCGCGGUAAUACGUAGGUCCCGAGCGUUGUCCGGAUUUAUUGGGCGUAAAGCGAGCGCAGGCGGUUAGAUAAGUCUGAAGUUAAAGGCUGUGGCUUAACCAUAGUACGCUUUGGAAACUGUUUAACUUGAGUGCAAGAGGGGAGAGUGGAAUUCCAUGUGUAGCGGUGAAAUGCGUAGAUAUAUGGAGGAACACCGGUGGCGAAGGCGGCUUUUUGGCCUGUAACUGACACUGAGGCGCGAAAGCGUGGAGAGCAAACAGGAUUAGAUACCCGAGUAGUCCCUGUCUCUUAUACA
rnacentral:rRNA from 1 species